rnacentral:rRNA from 1 species
UACGAGGGGGGCUAGCGUUGCUCGGAAUCACUGGGCGUAAAGCGCACGUAGGCGGCUUUUUAAGUCAGGGGUGAAAUCCUGGAGCUCAACUCCAGAACUGCCUUUGAUACUGGGAAGCUCGAGUCCGGGAGAGGUGAGUGGAACUCCGAGUGUAGAGGUGAAAUUCGUAGAUAUUCGGAAGAACACCAGUGGCGAAGGCGGCUCACUGGCCCGGUACUGACGCUGAGGUGCGAAAGCGUGGGGAGCAAACAGG